UACGAAGGGUGCAAGCGUUAAUCGGAAUUACUGGGCGUAAAGCGCGCGUAGGCGGUUUGGUAAGUGUGAUGUGAAAUCCCCGGGCGUCAACCUAGGAACUGCAUCACAUACUGCCAGGCUAGAGUACGGUAGAGGGGGUAGGAAUUCCACGUGUAGCGGUGAAAUGCGUAGAGAUGUGGAGGAAUACCAGUGGCGAAGGCGGCCCCCGUGGAUCGA
rnacentral:rRNA from 1 species